GAUAGACUCCUCUUCAGCAAGUGGAGUUUGCUCAGUUGACAUGGAACUAGAUGUUCAAACUUUCCAGUUUUCUGAGGACUUUUGGAAUGUCUUGUCCAUGUUAGCAGAAGUAAGUUGUAAAGUACAGAAACAUCCAUGACAACAGAGCAAACUUCAUCAGAUUAUAGAGACUGCUCUGCCAGUAACCUGCAGCUUAGAGUGUUCAGUUAAAAAGCUGUAACCGAGGCCAUCGGGCUCCAUGUGGAGCAUUUAAAUCACGAAAGGACUGUCCCGGUAUUUUUGCAUGCUUUCGCCAAUUUACUUCAUUUUUUUGUAUAUUGUAAAGGAUCAUUCCUGUUUAUUACAACUUGGGUUUGGAGUUGUGUUCAUCAUUUCUUUUAGUUACAACAUUGAACCCAGUGACCCGUUGUACUCCUUUAUAUCCUAACCCUAACCCUAACCUCCCAAAAAGGAGGUGUUACAGUCGGUACGUUUACAUGCACAGUUAAGGGGAGUUAACGUUAUAGCACAAUUAGGCCAUUUAACUGGAUUACUGUCCUUGUCCCUGUAAAUAAGCUCCAGGGAAGAAUUGAUUUUUUGAUGGAAGUAUGUCAGACUCCACCACAGCAGGUGGCGAUAUUUCCCCUUUCAGCUAGUUGCCGUUGAACCCUUUUGCAGCUGACCUAUUAGGUCACAUACCAAACAAGUAAGGAAGCAGCUCACGGUUUGCAUGCCGAUGACAACACGGAUAACCUUUCGGCACUGUACAUUUCUUGUCCAUUGAAAUCCCAUGUUGAUGUCCACUUCUUUCAUGUUGGGGUCUUUGAUGACUAAACAGCCCAAUCCUGGACACACAAGACAUAUUGCAGCUGAUGUACUGCUCAGUCCUGCUUGUCAUCCCAUCAUCCUCAUCGUUCAGCCAUCUCUGUCGUCACAUCCACCACCAGUGUCAAGACUCCGUUGGGGGGAAUGUUCCCAAACUAAGCACUGCAUCUCUCACCCCUGAAGCAACACCUCACGAUAGGGACAUAUCGCCAAAGAACUCGUCAUGAUUCAUGUUAUUGUGUAUUUUGUAAUACAUU